UACGGAGGGUGCAAGCGUUAUCCGGAUUCACUGGGUUUAAAGGGUGCGUAGGUGGGUUUGUAAGUCAGUGGUGAAAUCUCCAAGCUUAACUUGGAAACUGCCGUUGAUACUAUAAAUCUUGAAUGUUGUGGAGGUGAGCGGAAUAUGUCAUGUAGCGGUGAAAUGCUUAGAUAUGACAUAGAACACCAAGUGCGAAGGCAGCUCACUACACAAAGAUUGACACUGAGGCACGAAAGCGUGGGGAUCAAACAGG
rnacentral:rRNA from 1 species